UAAAGCGACUUACAGUACAUUCAAGCUAUACAUCAUGGGAAUCGAACCCAUGGCCUUUGGCGCUGCAAACACAAUGCUCUGCACAUGGAAACAAAUCAAGAACUUUGCACUUAAAAACUGUAAAAAUACGAAGGCAGUUUCUUUCAGUAGGCCUACAGCAAAGUUUUGUAUAUUUCACAAUUUUUAACUGUAUUUUUGACAGCAAAAUUGUUAACCUUAUAUCUGUUAAUAUAAAUCACAUAACACAGGGGGUAAAAUGGACACUCACAUGCUGAAUCUAAGUUUACUAAGCGGCCUUUCUAUACAUCAUUGCCAGUAUGUGGUGCACAGCCUAAUUUACACAAAUACAAAACACCAUGAUGAUAACACAUGUGACAUGAAAAUAAUACUAGAAACAUAAUUAAACUCAAAAUGUAACAUAAAAGACCUUAAUGCACGUAACUAGUAACAAAUACAGCAUUUUAGGAAACAUAAUUAUUAUUAUUAUACAAUGAUGAAGUACAGUAUCAUCAUUGUAAGAACAUAAUUUUACUUGUGACUUGUACAUACAAAAAUCUAAAUUUGAACAAUAUUUUAUCAUAAACGUAUAAAACGAGAUAAAAUAUUGUGUCCAUCCAUAUGCGCGUGAAUUUUGGUUUCGGUUUUAAAACAUGCAGGAAUUAGAAAAUAAAAUGCAGGACUUGCCUGAUGUUAAAAUAGCUAUUAGGAGAGAUAAAGUUCAGGACCUGAUUGAUGUUAAAAGAGUUUUAAAGGGGACAUUUCACAAGACGUUUUUAAGAUGCAAAAUAAAUCUUUGGUUUCAACAGAGUAUGUAUGUGAAGUUCUAGCUCAAAAUAUCAUAUAGAUAAUUUAUUAUAGCAUGUUAAACCUGCCACUUUGUAGGUGUGAGCAAAAAUGCAUUAAAUGGCAGUACAAUGCUUGGAUAGUGCAGAUUAAGGGGCGGUAUUAUCCCCUUUCUGACAUCACAAGGGGAGCCAAAUUUUAAGGGACUAUUUUUUCACAUUUCCAGAGAAUGGUUUACCAAAACUAAAUUACUGGAUUGUUUCUUUUCACAUUUUUUAGGUUGAUAGGAACACUGGGGACCCAAUUAUAACAUUUAAACAUGGAAAAGUCUGAUUUUCAUGAUAUGUCCCCUUUAAGGAGCGACAAGACAAGAAAACGAUCUUCCUCACGCUUUUACUGACAGAUCCGAAGCAUGCACAGAUGCGCAAGCGUGUGUCCCCGAUAUAUAGACAAUUACAGUUUUAAAAAUAUCUGUUUUGACAAGAAUUCACACAGAUAUAAUCUGUUAUGUCUUAAUGUUUGGUUAACUGUUAGGGAAAAUAUUACAUCCUUGCAUGACAGUAGAUCUUAAAGCUGUCUGUUUCAAUAUCAAUUAAACAAUAAAAGAAAGAAAAAGCUAAACAUAUAUUUUUCCUAAAGUACUGUAUUGUUUUUGACUUUGUGUGUGUUAAAUCUAUUAGUUUACCAGUGAUUUUAAUGUAUGAAUGCAGUCAUUUUGCUUUUAAACAUCUUUAACUCGAUUUUCUCAAAACUGACUGCUGACUCUGUCAACUUCAAACAUGUGUAUAGCUCUGUCAAUUUUUGUCAGAUUCCAACAAAUAAUACAUUAUUUAUUUUUAUUUUUUUUUUUAUGGAAAAUCUCAAAAUCUCAAAUAAUUUUUUAAAAUUUGCUCAUUCCGACUCAUUUUCCCAGCUCGGGUCACAUUUAUUUUAAUUAGUAAAAAUAUAAUCAAUUAAUAAGAACAUAGUUUUGAUUCCCAACUCUAAAAAUAAAAUAUCUUUAUCUACAGUCUAGCUUUAUAGACAAUAAAUAUGAAGCAUGUGUUUUAUACAGGUAUCAUAGAGAUGCCAGAAAUCCAAUAUAUGCUUGGGUAAUAUUUUACCUUAUCUUUAUAGUCAAUAAGCAUGAAACAUACUGUACUGUAGCAAAUUUACUCGUAAACAUCCUUAUACCAGAGAGGUCGCGUGUUACAAUGCAGCUGUAUGAAAUUUCAGCCACGACUUUGUUCAGCUGUAUCAAUCGUCAUUAAAUAUUGCAUAACUAUUUAUCUAGCCAAUGGCUAUUAAGUUUAUGGCCUUCUUGUCUAUGUGACAUCAUGUAAUAUAUGUGAAGCUGUGAGUCUUUUGAAUCAAUACAGAUGCGAUGAUGUUUCCAAAGCAGUGAACAUAUGAAAGCACUUCAGCUAGAUUUAGCCGCGUGAGGCCUAGAUCAAAUAUUGAGUGAAUUAAGGAGGGGCAUCGACACAUCAAAGAUCUUCUUUCUAUCAGAGAGAGAUUAAAGAAAACCUUGAAGAAGUGGGUGAAGGAGACAAAAUUGUACCUCUUUGGACUGUCAAUACCUGAUCCAGUAUGCACUUACACUCCCAAAAAUAAAGGUUCUUUGUCAGGCUGUAUGGUUCCAUAAAGAACCUUUAACAUCCGCAGAACCUUUCUGUUGCUCUUCAAAGAACUUUUGACUGAAAAGUUAUUUAAUACCAAAAAUGGCUUUUGCUGCAUCUUUAUUUUUUAGAGUGUAGCAUAUCCGAGGAAAAAUAAUCACUUCCCACCACCUGGAUGACAUAUCUUGAAGGACAUAUUAGAUAACCUUGAGGAUCUCAAAGAAAAGUAGUCCACAGUCAAAUGUCUAUCAGUAUCUAUCUGAUGAUUUCUCAACGGGCUGGGAUGAAUGCUUGGAGGGUGAUCUGUACCAGGGGCUCUCUCUGUAAAAUUGUACAGAUAAACUCCUGGCAGGUCAAAGCCAGGCCGUGUUCUGAACCGUAAUCAGGUCUGGCAAGAUUAGGCUAAUAUAAGUCUUUCGGUCAUCCUUUAUAGUAAAUCACAAUUCUUCUUCUAAUGCCAGGGCUUCCCAAGGCAGGACAUCCAUGAAAAAAGUAAAAGAACCCAGCAGAUUAAAACCAUCUCAGUCUGUCUCUCAAUGUCUGUUCUUCAAAGACCCUAGAUAGCAUCUGAGAUAACAUGGCGCUCGGAUACUAGGAGAUUUAUUUUGGAGAGAGAAUAGAUAGCGUGCCAUGAACAGAGUGGUCACUUUAUAACCCCUUUAUUUUGCAUGUGGUUAUGUCUCUUGCUUUGAUUGGUUUUCCCGUCUGAUUUCAGGCUAACUGAGACAUGGAAAAAUACAGACGAGAAUGAAAAGGCGAGAGGUGCACUUGUGGGUAUUCGCAUGGUAGUUAAGUUGAGCUGUGGCAAUGGAGGUAAAGGUGAUUGAGCAACUAUGAACCCCAUUCCUGUCGGUUCUCUUUUCCCCGCCGUGACCGGCUGUAUGAGACCUCAUAAAUAUGCAUUCAGUGAUGGUAAUUGAUCCAUCAACACUGAAGCAUCGUGUUUUAGUCUCCUUCGCCACAUCAUGCCUUCCAGAUUGCGGCCCAAUCACAAACAGCUUGUGGAGAAACUCACACAGCCGAGCAGAUGAUGGGGUGGUGUCAGAUACACAUGUCUGUAGCAGGGGCUGAUGGGAAUCUGACUGUGUUUGGGGAAGAAGGGGUCAGCAGGAAGACGUUGAUUGGGCAGUAAGCCAAAGCUCUCCUGCACAGGGCACUGCAUUGAUCCACACCCAUGCAGCUUUGGACCGCUUUGUGCAACCUUCACAAUAAAUGCCAGGGACGUCUUUGUCUAAGGUUAAAUUGAAGUGGUACCCUCAGCCAAUAGUUGGUGACCACAGGGAUUAAGGGAAGAAGUCACAGGGGCGCUGGACCACACAUCCUCUAUGCAAGUAGCCAUAGAUGCCCAUGCCAUAGAUGACAAAGCUGCAUCUAUUCUCUCUGUCCCACCUCUCAUUUAUUUCAAAUGUUUACAUAUCCCACAUAACAUUUACAUGCAUUUAUCCAAAGCAACUUGCAGUGCAUUUAAGGUAUACAUUUUAUCAGUAUGUGUGUUCACUGCUUGCCACUGUAGUAUAGUAGGCAGCUAACACUUUAUUUGAUUGUAUUGAGUUGACACUUUCAGAUUUGUUGCAGGUUCAAAUUACUUUUUGGUCCCCGAUUUUCAAUAACCUGAUUUAAAUUAAAGAUUUGUGCAAAGCUUUAGCAUAAUUUUUAAAAUGUCAAUAAAACUGUUGCAAAAUGGCGGCAUUCUCUUUAACCAA